rnacentral:misc_RNA from 1 species
GGGGCUCAGAGGUUUUACUGAAACCAUCAAGUUGAUGAUUGUGCUCUUGAGAAAAUUGGGAGAUUACCCAUUUUCCAUUUUCAACUGUACACCUGAUCCUAGCUCUGCAGCCUGUUCUAGUUUCUUUUCUCUUGAACUUGGUUAUCUUGUUGACCUGCUUCUUUGACCGAAACCCUUCUUUUGAACAAAAAAAGAACCGUUCUCUAAUGCUUCCAUUGGAUGAUCGCCGCACCUUUCCUUUUCUUACAAUGAAACCAAUUCCUUUAGCAUAUUUUUUGUAAAAUUCAUAAGCCUCAUCAUCAGAAGAGAAUACCAUUCCAAGUUCUGGUACUUGAAAAUGAUCUUUCUGAGUUCCUUCUCUCAAGAUGAAAGUUGAUAAGGCUUGUAUCUCAUCUUCAUUUGUGUUAGAUGAUAGUGAAUCAUCUUC